GGGUGGUCGAGGGCCCUGUGUGGGUACGAGCGUGUGAGUGUGUGUCCCUGGGGUCCAUGCUCAUGCACACACUCACAUGCCCUCACUC
ensembl:miRNA